CUAGUACUCCCUCCGUUCGGAAUUACUUGUCUCGAAAAUGGAUGUAUCUAGAACUAAAAUACGUCUAGAUACAUCCAUUUCUGCAACAAGUAAUUUCGAACGGAGGGAGUACUGU
rnacentral:pre_miRNA from 1 species